GCUACCUUAUACAUGCACAGCUAUCUCUAUGCCCUUUACACUAAGCGUAAUUUGGAGGAAAAAGCAUCCUGGACAGAUGUCUGCUCCAUGGUUUAUAAGAGUAUGUGAUACCAUCCGCACUUUUCACAGCUAAACCCUUGAAAACUGGGAGACAGACAAAGGAACCCAAACGUGAAGAGCAUUCAUUAAAAGAUGUAAAUAGCCAAGAUCCGUGCUGUUUUGUUUCAAUCUUCUUUACACUGCUGAAAAAAGGAAAGCCUCCUGUCACGCAGACUCCGGGAUUCUCAGAGCGCAAUAAAGGCACCUCUGGAUACAGAAGGUACCCAAUUAGCAGAAUUCAUGGUCCUGAUUGUGUAUUGUGGGGCUAGUGUGUGGGCUGUAUAAACACUGUUGAUUACCAUUCCUCUGUAAUGGCUGGUUUUUGAUUGCUUAAUAAGGCCAUCUAUUCUGCAUCAGGGCCUGGCAAAGCAGUUGGUGAAAUCAGUUAGGUCACUUUUUUUCUGGUCCGAGUAACAGGAGGAGUCUGUGAUGGUGGCAGUUGACUAAAAACAUAAUUACAGGCUAUUUAAUCGCAUCUGUUUCCCCACUUAACAUUGUUUAUUCAAGUUAGACAUAGUUAAGUAAAUCAAAAGGACAAUAACGGCAAAAGCACGAAAAAAUUACUAUUACAUAGUUAAAACUCUAGGGUUUGAUAUAAUUACAGAAAACAUAGCUUGCAGUGAUUUUUUUAAGGUACUAAUUUUUAUUAGGUUCUAUACACACAUUUUGCUUAUUUGGUUGUUGCUUGUUUUUUUGGGAUUUGUUUUUUAAGAUUCUGUGUUAUGUAAAUAACUAUUUGUCUGACAGGACUGAUUUUAUGUGAAGGGUUCUACAGGGAUGAUAUUAUUUAUUAUGAUGAUUUUUAUGUGCUCAUCCAAUUUUAUAAUUAGCAGUCAAGUAAUUCCUAUCCUGUUUUGUGAUUAAUAACUAAUCCCAUAAACACACCUCCACUACAUAGAAUUGUCUAGAUGGAUGAGUCCAAGUGAGCAUCAGACCCAAGGGCACCGCCAUUCACUCUGAAAUGCCCCCAUCCUCCCUCUGAGUACC
rnacentral:lncRNA from 13 species